rnacentral:rRNA from 1 species
AAGCAGCUUGCUGCUUCGCUGACGAGUGGCGGACGGGUGAGUAAUGUCUGGGAAGCUGCCUGAUGGAGGGGGAUAACUACUGGAAACGGUAGCUAAUACCGCAUAAUGUCGCAAGACCAAAGAGGGGGACCUUCGGGCCUCUUGCCAUCGGAUGUGCCCAGAUGGGAUUAGCUUGUUGGUGGGGUAACGGCUCACCAAGGCGACGAUCCCUAGCUGGUCUGAGAGGAUGACCAGCCACACUGGAACUGAGACACGGUCCAGACUCCUACGGGAGGCAGCAGUGGGGAAUAUUGCACAAUGGGCGCAAGCCUGAUGCAGCCAUGCCGCGUGUAUGAAGAAGGCCUUCGGGUUGUAAAGUACUUUCAGCGGGGAGGAAGGGAGUAAAGUUAAUACCUUUGCUCAUUGACGUUACCCGCAGAAGAAGCACCGGCUAACUCCGUGCCAGCAGCCGCGGUAAUACGGAGGGUGCAAGCGUUAAUCGGAAUUACUGGGCGUAAAGCGCACGCAGGCGGUUUGUUAAGUCAGAUGUGAAAUCCCCGGGCUCAACCUGGGAACUGCAUCUGAUACUGGCAAGCUUGAGUCUCGUAGAGGGGGGUAGAAUUCCAGGUGUAGCGGUGAAAUGCGUAGAGAUCUGGAGGAAUACCG